rnacentral:lncRNA from 1 species
GGCUCCGGGAGCUUCUCCGGCAGCUACACCAAAGGCAUCACCAGUUGCACCAGUAGCAUCACCUCCAACUGCUGUUGUUACACCUGUAUCCGCUCCAUCACAAUCUCCUACUACUGCCGCAUCUCCUUCUGAAUCUCCAUUGGCAUCUCCACCAGCUCCACCAACUGCUGACACUCCAGCAUUUGCUCCCUCCGGCGGCGUUGCUCUUCCUCCAUCCAUCGGCGCUGCUCCCGCCGGUUCUCCAACCUCGUCUCCUAACGUUGCCUCCUUG